GUGCCGUAACUCUUCUGUUCUGGGCGAUACCAAGUUCAAUUUUAACGAAGCUCUUUUAGUUCCAAGAAACAGACACAGCCAGACCAGUCUGAAAAUUUUUAUUUUCUGAAAAAUGUAACUUGUAAGAACACACGUAGAGCAAAAGGGAGAAACUUGGAAAUUUUUACGCAAAAAACACCUAAGUAAAACCAUUCUUGAAAGGACACAUGAACAAAUUGAACCAGUCAGAGGGGAAAGAUCAGGAUGAUGAAGUGACUCAGAAAUCAGGAUGUCCCUCUUCAUGGAGAGCUGCCUGAAGCUGAGAAGGGUGCGACGGACCUGAAGGCUGCACAGCGCCGGGUCUUACCCAAGGCUCAAGGUGACCGCUGCCUGGUUUCUGCUGGUGUUUAUUCAAAGCCCAAGGGCUCUCCAGUCAGCAAGUGGUGAAUCUAGUCAGACAUGUGUCCUACGCUUCAGGGCAAUGAGCUUCCCCUCAGCCUAAGAUUCCAUUAUGACAUUAGUCUCUGGUCACAAUUAUCUGAAGCCUUGCAGGAUGCACCAUUCCACUUCAUCCUGUCUUCAUCACAAGAAGAAAAGUGAGUAAAGUACAAUAAGAUAUUUAGAGAGAAA
rnacentral:lncRNA from 1 species